UACAGGGGGGGCAAGCGUUGUUCGGAAUUACUGGGCGUAAAGGGCUCGUAGGCGGCCAACUAAGUCCGACGUGAAAUCCCAAAGCUUAACUUUGGAACUGCGUCGGAUACUGGAUGGCUUGAAUUCGGGAGAGGGAUGCAGAAUUCCAGGUGUAGCGGUGAAAUGCGUAGAGAUUUGGAGGAACACCAGUGGCGAAGGCGACGUUCUGGUCUGUAACUGACACUGAGGCGCGAAAGCGUGGGGAGCAAACAGG
rnacentral:rRNA from 1 species